UAGUAGUACAGCCAAGUAGGGUGCCUUGCCCUUAUGUUUACUUGCAUGCGUGUUGUCAUAACACUUGUUAAAAGUAUGCCAAUCCAGUCUUGUGACCUAUGUUCUCUGACUGUGUGUGUGUAGGAUGUUGGAGCAGCUGAGGAAACAGCAGGGCUCAGUCCUCCACCCAGACUACAGUUCUUCCUUCCAGUGUUUUGAAGACACCCUGACCCGCCUGGUGCCUUACCACCUCUACCAGGGCACUGCCACCGCACCACAUGACUACCACAGAGGUACACACACCCUGACCCGCCUGGUGCCUUACCACCUCUACCAGGGCACUGCCACAGCACCACAUGACUACCACAGAGGUACACACACACCCUGACCCGCCUGGUGCCUUACCACCUCUACCAGGGCACCACCACACGACUACCACAGAGUGGAUGAUGAGUUUGAGAGUGUUUCCAGCCAGCUCCUGAAGAGAACUCAAGCCAUGCUGGAUAAAUAAGACACGACACCUGCUUUUUGAGGAAUCAACGCGCCUCGGCCCGUCAGCUGAGAUGGUAAUGAUGGACAGGAUGUUUUUCAGGAGGAGAAGAUCUCUCUGGGACAGGACCGCAUCCUCGCCAGGGACAGACCUGAGGAGUAUGUGGCAACUCGAAGAUGCUGCGAGG